rnacentral:rRNA from 1 species
CACGUAGGGGGCGAGCGUUGUCCGGAUUUAUUGGGCGUAAAGAGCUCGUAGGCGGCUCAGUAAGUCAGGUGUGAAAACUCCAGGCUCAACCUGGAGACGCCACUUGAUACUGCUGUGGCUAGAGUCCGGUAGGGGAGCAUGGAAUUCCUGGUGUAGCGGUGAAAUGCGCAGAUAUCAGGAGGAACACCAGUGGCGAAGGCGGUGCUCUGGGCCGGAACUGACGCUGAGGAGCGAAAGCGUGGGGAGCAAACAGG